CUUAACGAAGAAGUUUUGUCCCAAGACCGAAAACCAUUUCUACAAACAGUGAUGAGGAUUUGAGAGUGGAUUCUCCAAGCAUGUUGUGGAGGUGAAGGUCUAUACAACUGCUACAAAUCUGUCCAACAUGGAAUUGUUUAUGCAAGAGUUUAUGGUGUAUGUGAAUUGAAGUUCUCAACCAAGGAAGCCAAGAAGUGGAGAUUGUGUUCCAUAACACAUCAUGUAAAAAAUCCGAGCAGCGCAGGCUCUCUUUUAUUUUUGAACCUGUGUUCGUCGAUGACCUCCAAGAAUGUUACUGUGGUUAUGAACACAGGCUUUACCAUUGAUGUUUUAUUUUCCGAUUGGGCGCGACGUUCUCGUUGGGACCUUCGCAUCCUUUCCUGUCAAUUCAAUUAAGUGUGGAUCGAUUAGACUGUACAUGACUACAUGCUUCUUUGGUUGACGAGGUGUCGAACUCGCAAAAAUAAAUUCCUUACUUCUCUUACACUAACUGUAUAAUGACAAGCAGGUUCGUUUCUAUGGGAGAGUUUGAGCUAAAGUUUUCGAUUCAAU